UGGGGAAUAUUGCACAAUGGGCGCAAGCCUGAUGCAGCCAUGCCGCGUGUGUGAAGAAGGCCUUCGGGUUGUAAAGCACUCUCAGCGGGGAGGAAGGCGAUAAGGUUAAUAACCUUGUCGAUUGACGUUACCCGCAGAAGAAGCACCGGCUAACUCCGUGCCAGCAGCCGCGGUAAUACGGAGGGUGCAAGCGUUAAUCGGAAUUACUGGGCGUAAAGCGCACGCAGGCGGUCUGUCAAGUCGGAUGUGAAAUCCCCGGGCUCAACCUGGGAACUACAUUCGAAACUGGCAGGCUAGAGUACUUUAGAGGGGGGUAGAAUUCCAGGUGGAGCGGUGAAAUGCGUAGAGAUCUGGAGGAAUACCGGUGGCGAAGGCGGCCCCCUGGACAAAGACUGACGCUCAGGUGCGAAAGCGUGGGGAGCAAACAGG
rnacentral:rRNA from 1 species